UACGUAGGGGGCAAGCGUUGUCCGGAAUUAUUGGGCGUAAAGAGCGUGUAGGCGGCCAGAUAAGUCCGCUGUGAAAUCUCGAGGCUCAACUUCGAGCUGUCGGUGGAAACUGUCUGGCUAGAGUCCGGAAGAGGAGAAUGGAAUUCCUGGUGUAGCGGUGAAAUGCGCAGAUAUCAGGAAGAACACCCGUGGCGGAAGGCGGCUCUCUGGGACGGUACUGACGCUGAGACGCGAAAGCGUGGGAGCGAACAGG
rnacentral:rRNA from 1 species